CCUACGGGUGGCAGCAGUGAGGAAUAUUGGUCAAUGGCCGCAGGCCUGAACCAGCCAAGUCGCGUGAGGGAUGACGGUCCUAUGGAUUGUAAACCUCUUUUGUCAGGGAGCAAAGGACGCCACGCGUGGCGUUCCGCGAGUACCCGAAGAAAAAGCAUCGGCUAACUCCGUGCCAGCAGCCGCGGUAAUACGGAGGAUGCGAGCGUUAUCCGGAUUUAUUGGGUUUAAAGGGUGCGCAGGCGGAAUGUCAAGUCAGCGGUAAAAUUUCGGGGCUCAACCCCGUCGUGCCGUUGAAACUGGCGUUCUUGAGUGAGCGAGAAGUAUGCGGAAUGCGUGGUGUAGCGGUGAAAUGCAUAGAUAUCACGCAGAACUCCGAUUGCGAAGGCAGCAUACCGGCGCUCAACUGACGCUCAUGCACGAAAGUGUGGGUAUCGAACAGGAUUAGAUACCCUGGUAGUC
rnacentral:rRNA from 1 species